AGUUCGGCAUCAAUAUGGUGACCUCCCGGGAGUGGGGGACCACCAGGUUACCUAAGGAGCGGUGAACCGGCCCAGGUCGGAAAUGAAGCAGGUCAAAACUCCCGUGCCGAUCAG
ensembl:misc_RNA Metazoa_SRP Metazoan signal recognition particle RNA